AACAGGACUCAGACUCAGAACAAGGAGUGUCUUUUGGGAAGGUACCUUUAUCUCUUUUUGAUGAGGAGGAGAUUGGAAUCUGGCGCCUCUCCGUUCCAGGAAUGUGAUUGGCCGCUUGUGUCCAAGGUGGCCAUGAUGUUGCCCGCCCUAGUGUGGAACUCAUUUGCAUACAGUGGAGUACAAAGAUAAACAGUGUCUUUAACAUUUCACCCAUGCAAUAUUUCUUUACCAAACCUCUUUCAAACUAUUAUCAGCAUCAUAAGGAGCAAAAAGAGUCCAAACAUGAUAGGGAACUGUUGAACUAUCACUUAUUCAUACCAUAAUAUGUUAAUAGGCCUGCUUCCGUGAACUGUUGUGUUAACAGUCAAUGGCCAUCAACAUAAACUGUACUUUAUCUGAGGAUGAAGUGAAUUCCUUGAAGUUUGCAUCCAUUUAAGGUCUCCAAACAUGGGUAUGAAUGGAUUUGGAUAGAUCUGUGUGGCCUUUCUUUGUUUCGGCCACUGCUGUUGCAUCCAGAGAUCUAGAGGAAUUUUUAUGGCAGUCAUUUCCUAAACCUUAGGAUUGGGUGUGAUGGUGUGGGUCAGCCCGUAGUCCAAUGAGAAGUCCUCUCUUAGGUGGUCGUGGAUGCAGAAGGUCUCCGUUCCUGCCCUGUUAGAGGUGUCUGGCAGUUGUCUUGGCGUCUUAUCUGAUGGUUCUGAACAUAUUUUUAUGUUCCUCCACCAAGAUCCAAUCACAGUGGGGCACAUCUCCCUCCACACCGGCAGUUAGAGAAGGGCCCUGCCAUGAACUGGUCCUUGGAAUGCCAGUUUGACAUUUGAAUCAAUCAGACUAAACCUGAUUGAUUCCAGAGCCAUUGAACAGCUCUGAUUGGUUUGUAUGAUAAUGAGCUCACAGCAGAGAGCUUCGUAGAUCAAAUCAGAUGUGCAUAAGUCUAAAUUUAAACAGUAUUAUAUAGAGUGAUCGUGUCUCUUUAGGGCGCUUGGAGGAAACCACGCAAUUCAUAUGGAUUAUUUUAGCGAUGUUUUUUUUGUGAUGAACUUUUUGAAGCGUGAACAUCUUAGAAUCUUUUCAUCGGAGGAACAUAAAUCUCACAGAUUUCAUUAAAAUAUCUCUGCUUUUCUUUCGAAGAUGAGCGAAAGUCUUAGAUGGUUUGGAGCAUCUUAAGGCUUCUACAAGCGUGUAUGGCGUCUGGCUGUUGGAACCUCACCGUGGCUUCAGAUAAGAACAAAGAUUAAAUUGUAAGAAGGGCUGCUUGUAAGAGCAUACAGUACAUCUGAAACUGCUGAGACUGGUAAGGUUUUUGACUAUAUUUCCGACCAGGUACAUUGUUUUGUCAUUCUUAAAUAGAAAACAAAUCAUCAAUCAUCAUUUGCCUUUUUUGUGCGUGUGAGAAAUAUUAACAUUUGUUGUUUUUAAGAUCAGCUGCUAUAGAAGACAAACUGAAAUCUGAGUGCAGAGACAAGCAAAGGAAUAGGAAGUAUAUUUUAAUAUCGUAUCACCUCUGUUAUAGAGAGUUUUGAAUCAGGCCUAAUAGAGGAUGAAUCGGUCAAUCUUGGAAGAAAAAUGUUAGCAAUGUGUCCAUUCCAGGUGGCUAAUUUGUGCGUCCUUUCAGUCAUUCGUGUAAAAAUCCGUUAUCUAAUUUUGUUUCUGUUUUUUUUUUUUUUUAAAGCUGCAAGGCACUUGUGCAAAAAUAUUGUAUGCCAGAACGACUAGGCUGUGCCCAGGUCUCCGGAACCUGCGACGAUGCUCAGCUCCAUCAGCCCUCCGUCUGUGCCUUUGGAUCCACCAACUCUGUCUCCAUCAGUCGGCCCCCAGAUGGCAGCCACACCAUCUACAUCUUGGCUCCUCCCUCCCUCGACUCCGCCGUGUGUUGUCAGCACUGGGAUGCUCUGGGUCUGUGCCAUGUGCCAAACUCCAUCUAAGCCACCAGGGCAUCAUCGUCAUCCUCCCAUCACCAUCCCUUCACCACAUCCUGCCAUCAUCCCCUCACCUAUCAUCCCCUAUUCUGUUGCUUGAACUUUAUCAUCUUCAGUCACACACAUCUAUUCACUUCUGCACUGUUUUUCUGUAAAUUGCUUUUUUUUCUUCAGAAAAUUGCAUUGUAAUUUUUAUUUAUUCAUUGAUGUAAAAUUAUUUACUUUUCAGCAAUACAUGUAUAACUGAAAUGUUCUACAAAUGGAUAAGAUAGCUUUUCCAUAGCAUGUCUUUUUUUUCUCA